rnacentral:lncRNA from 1 species
GGCUGUUAUAAGAUGUCCUUAGAACCUUCUCUUCUUCAGGCUGAAGUGCCCCAGCUCUUUCAUUCCUUACCUGUAAGGGAGGUGCUCUAGCCCUCUGAUUAUCUUUGUGUCUCUCCUCUGGACAUGCUCCAACAACUUAAUGUUCAGCUCAAACACCUAAAAAACAUCAGAAUGAGCAUAUUUAAUCAAGUGGCAUUGCCUAUGUGAACAGUGCAAAGAUAACCACUGUCUGUUGGAAGACUAUUGCAGUUUAACAUGCUCAGGCAGAUGAACUACGAAUACCCUACUG